AACGAACGCUGACGGCGUGCCUAACACAUGCAAGUCGAACGAGAAAGUCCCGGCUUGCCGGGAUGAGUAGAGUGGCGCACGGGUGAGUAACGCGUGGGUAAUCUGCCUUUAAGCUUGGGAUAACACUGCGAAAGCGGUGCUAAUACCGGAUAUGCUCACAGUUUGAAAUGUCUGUGGGGAAAGGUGGCCUCUGACAUAAGCUACCACUUAAAGAUGAGCCCGCGUACCAUUAGCUUGUUGGUGGGGUAAUGGCCUACCAAGGCUACGAUGGUUAGCUGGGCUGAGAGGGCGGCCAGCCGCACUGGAACUGAGACACGGUCCAGACUCCUACGGGAGGCAGCAGUGGGGAAUAUUGCGCAAUGGGGGAAACCCUGACGUAGCGACGCCGUGUGAGUGAUGAAGGCUUUCGGGUCGUAAAGCUCUGUCGGAUGGGACGAAUAAUGACUGUGUGAAUAAUGCAGUCAGAUGACGGUACCGUCGAAGGAAGCACCGGCUAACUCCGUGCCAGCCGCCGCAGUAA
rnacentral:rRNA from 1 species